rnacentral:lncRNA from 1 species
AAUAUCUGCAAAGACACAUCACCAGGCCAACAACUUCAAUGUGUUUGAAGGAAUGGUCUGUCAUGGAGUCCCUGUUGCAACAAUUUCAAGAGGCAAAGUGGUUUAUCAUGAUGGAGUUUUCAAUGUCACAGCAGGACAAGGCAAAUACGUCUCUCGUCCACCAUUUCCUCCAUAUGUCUAUGAACGAGUCAAGCAGCGGGAGGAGGUCUGUCAGCCUAUUCCUGUUAAGAGAGAACCAUAUGCAGGUGUGGUCUCAGCAACACCUGUCACACCAACAUAAUAGCUGCAUUCCUCAGAUAAAAGCAGAUGAAAAUGACCCUGAUGUGUCCACUGAAGAAGUGCACAUUCAGUUCAAAACCAGCUUCUCAAGCCAAUGUGAAACAACAGUAACCAAUAAACAUUACACUGCGC